rnacentral:tRNA from 1 species
GAGGGUAGAGCUCAGUGGUAGAAUGUGUGCUUAGCAUGCACGAGGUCCUGGGUUCAAUCCCUAGUGCCUCCA